rnacentral:rRNA from 1 species
GAUGUCGAUUUGGAGGUUGUGCCCUUGAGGCGUGGCUUCCGGAGCUAACGCGUUAAAUCGACCGCCUGGGGAGUACGGCCGCAAGGUUAAAACUCAAAUGAAUUGACGGGGGCCCGCACAAGCGGUGGAGCAUGUGGUUUAAUUCGAUGCAACGCGAAGAACCUUACCUACUCUUGACAUCCAGAGAACUUUCCAGAGAUGGAUUGGUGCCUUCGGGAACUCUGAGACAGGUGCUGCAUGGCUGUCGUCAGCUCGUGUUGUGAAAUGUUGGGUUAAGUCCCGCAACGAGCGCAACCCUUAUCCUUUGUUGCCAGCGGUUCGGCCGGGAACUCAAAGGAGACUGCCAGUGAUAAACUGGAGGAAGGUGGGGAUGACGUCAAGUCAUCAUGGCCCUUACGAGUAGGGCUACACACGUGCUACAAUGGCGUAUACAAAGAGAAGCGACCUCGCGAGAGCAAGCGGACCUCAUAAAGUACGUCGUAGUCCGGAUUGGAGUCUGCAACUCGACUCCAUGAAGUCGGAAUCGCUAGUAAUCGUAGAUCAGAAUGCUACGGUGAAUACGUUCCCGGGCCUUGUACACACCGCCCGUCACACCAUGGGAGUGGGUUGCAAAAGAAGUAGGUAGCUUAACCUUCGGGAGGGCGCUUACCACUUUGUGAUUCAUGACUGGGGUGAAGUCGUAACAGGGAAACCCGUA